GUAGGUGGCAAGCGUUGUCCGGAAUUAUGGGCGUAAAGCGCGCGCAGGUGGGGUCGUUUAAGUCUGGUGUGAAGACCCCCGGGCUCAACCGGGGAGGGUCAUUGGAAACUGGGGAACUUGAGUGCAGGAGAGGAAAGUGGAAUUCCACGUGUAGCGGUGAAAUGCGUAGAUAUGUGGAGGAACACCAGUGGCGAAGGCGACUUUCUGGCCUGUAACUGACACUGAGGCGCGAAAGCGUGGGGAGCAAACAGGAUUAGAUACCCUGGUAGUCCACGCCGUAAACGAUGAGUGCUAAGUGUUGGGGGGGUUUCCGGCCCCUCAGUGCUGCAGCUAACGCAUUAAGCACUCCGCCUGGGGAGUACGGUCGCAAAGACUG
rnacentral:rRNA from 1 species